GCAAGGAAUUUUCGUCAAUGGGCGCAAGCCUGAACGAGCAACGCCGCGUGCAGGAUGACGGCUUUCGGGUUGUAAACUGCUUUUUGGGGGGACGAUAAUGACGGUACCCCCGGAAUAAGCCCCGGCUCACUCUGUGCCAGCAGCCGCGGUAAUACAGAGGGGGCAAGCGUUGUCCGGACUUACUGGGUGUAAAGCGCAUGCAGGUGGCUGUGCAAGUAUGCUGUGAAAGCCCCGUGCUUAACACGGGGAGGCCAGUAUAGACUGCACGGCUCGAGGACUGCAGAGGGUAGGGGAAUUGCUGGUGUAGUGGUGAAAUGCGUAGAGAUCAGCAGGAAUACCAAUGCCGAAGGGACCUACCUGGGCAGUAUCUGACACUCAAGUGCGACAGCGUGGGGAGCGAA
rnacentral:rRNA from 1 species